rnacentral:rRNA from 1 species
UGGUCCUACGGGAGGCAGCAGUGGGGGAUAUUGCACAAUGGGGGGAACCCUGAUGCAGCGACGCCGCGUGGGUGAAGGAGCGUUUCGGCGCGUAAAGCCCUAUCGGCAGGGAAGAAGAUGACGGUACCUGACCAAGAAGCCCCGGCUAACUACGUGCCAGCAGCCGCGGUAAUACGUAGGGGGCAAGCGUUAUCCGGAUUUACUGGGUGUAAAGGGAGCGUAGACGGAAAGGCAAGUCAGAAGUGAAAACCCAAGGCUCAACCAUGGGACUGCUUUUGAAACUGUCAA